rnacentral:rRNA from 1 species
UACGAAGGGUGCAAGCGUUACUCGGAAUUACUGGGCGUAAAGCGUGCGCAGGCGGUGAUGUAAGACAGUUGUGAAAUCCCCGGGCUCAACCUGGGAACUGCAUCUGUGACUGCAUCGCUGGAGUACGGCAGAGGGGGAUGGAAUUCCGCGUGUAGCAGUGAAAUGCGUAGAUAUGCGGAGGAACACCGAUGGCGAAGGCAAUCCCCUGGGCCUGUACUGACGCUCAUGCACGAAAGCGUGGGGAGCAAACAGG